GAGUUUGAUCUUGGCUCAGGACGAACGCUGGCGGCGUGCCUAAUACAUGCAAGUCGAACGAACGGAUAAAGAGCUUGCUCUUUUGAAGUUAGUGGCGGACGGGUGAGUAACACGUGGGUAACCUGCCUCACAGCUGGGGAUAACAUCGAGAAAUCGAUGCUAAUACCGAAUGUGCUGAACAUCAUAAGAUGUUCAAGUGAAAGACGGUUUCGGCUGUCACUGUGAGAUGGACCCGCGCUGGAUUAGCUAGUUGGUAAGGUAAUGGCUUACCAAGGCGACGAUCCAUAGCCGACCUGAGAGGGUGAUCGGCCACAUUGGGACUGAGACACGGCCCAAACUCCUACGGGAGCAGCAGUAGGGAAUCUUCGGCAAUGGACGAAAGUCUGACCGAGCAACGCCGCGUGAGCGAAGAAGGCCUUGGUCGUAAAGCUCUGUUGUUAGAGAAGAAC
rnacentral:rRNA from 1 species